GACAGAGGGCCCGAGCGUUAGGCGGAAUCACUGGGCUUAAAGCGUGUGUAGGCGGAUCUGUAAGUACCUUGUGAAAUCCCACGGCUUAACCGUGGAACUGCUCGGUAUACUGCGGAUCUUGAGCCACCUAGGGGCAACCGGAACAAACGGUGGAGCGGUGAAAUGCGUAGAUAUCGUGUGGAACGCCAAUGGUGAAAACAGGUUGCUGGGGGUGUGCUGACGCUGAGACACGAAAGCCAGGGGAGCAAACGGG
rnacentral:rRNA from 1 species